AAAGGAAAUUGACGGAAGAACACCACAAGGAGUGGAGUGUGCGGCUUAAUUUGACUCAACGCGGGACAGCUUUCCAGGCCCGACGGUCGCAUGAGUGUUGUACACGAUAGGCCGGAGAGUGGUGCAUGGCCGUUAACGACAAGUGGGGUGACCUUUGGGUUAAGUCCGGGAAGUAGUGAGACCCCUGCCGGCGUGCCGGGACAGGUGCGCAAAGCACAGGAAGGAAGGGUCAAGAACAGGUCAGUGAUGCCCUUAGAUGGUCUGGGCUGCACGCGCACUACAGUGGUCGCAGAAAUGGCAGAGGUAGCCUGAAUGGCGAUCGAGAGGGAACGAGCUCUGGAAGGGGCUCGGGAACGAGGAAUUGCUAGUAAUCGUGGGCUCAUAAAGACACGAUAAAAUUCGCU
rnacentral:rRNA from 1 species